AUCAAUAAAAAAGUUGUUGAGAAAUCUCUAAUGUCUUUUCUAAAACAUCAUGUUGUAAAUGGAGUAUGGAGGUGCUGAAAUGUUUGUGCACUUGAGAACAAUUUUAAAUUUGUGCAACUUUGUCAGCACCACCAAAAUCAUCAUAGAUUUAACUCAUAAGAAACCUAGUUUUUGCAUGCAAAUUUUCAACUUCAAAUGGAACAAAUUUCUGAAAUACAAAUGACAACAAUGGAUUCUUCAAGAAACUAACAGAGUAAUGAGCACACUAUUAUAAUCCACCAAACAUACUGAGUACACGAGAAGUACACCAACAAACAUAAGAAAAGACGGUGUCUGCAGAAACAUUCGAAAUAAAAAUGGAUAGUCAAAUUCUCCACAGAAGAGAAUAGCAUAACAGUUAGGUCACACAAUAUGCAUGUUCCCAAACAGACAUUAAAAAACCCUAUAUAUAUAUAUAUAUAUUGUAUUAUGUUUUCAGAUUUUC
rnacentral:lncRNA from 1 species